GUGCUCGCUUUGGCAGCACAUGCACUAAAAUUGGAACGAUACAGAGAAGAUUAGCAUGGCUGCUGUGCAAAGAUGACACACAAAUUCGUGAAGCAUUCCAUAUUUUU
ensembl:snRNA U6 U6 spliceosomal RNA